rnacentral:rRNA from 1 species
CGAACGCUGGCGGCAGGCCUAAUACAUGCAAGUCGAACGGCUCUUCGGAGCAGUGGCGGACGGGUGAGUAACGCGUGGGAAUGUGCCCUUAGGUACGGAACAACACAGGGAAACUUGUGCUAAUACCGUAUGUGCCCUUCGGGGGAAAGAUUUAUCGCCUUUGGAGCAGCCCGCGUUGGAUUAGGUAGUUGGUGAGGUAAAGGCUCACCAAGCCGACGAUCCAUAGCUGGUCUGAGAGGAUGACCAGCCACACUGGGACUGAGACACGGCCCAGACUCCUACGGGAGGCAGCAGUAGGGAAUCUUGCGCAAUGGGCGAAAGCCUGACGCAGCCAUGCCGCGUGAGUGAUGAAGGCCUUAGGGUUGUAAAGCUCUUUUACCAGGGAUGAUAAUGACAGUACCUGGAGAAUAAGCUCCGGCUAACUCCGUGCCAGCCGCCGCCGUAACAC